rnacentral:lncRNA from 1 species
CACAACAGAUGUGUCCCAGUCCCAGCAAGACCAGCCCCUAGACCAGCCCCAGCAAGACCAGCCCCUAGACCAGCCCCAGCAAGACCAGCCCCUAGACCAGCCCCAGCAAGACCAGCCCCUAGACCAGCUAAUCCCACAAGACCACCAACUGAUUACACUUGAAGUAUGUCCAAUCGUCUCUCAGGCUCAGCAGCAUGUGGAGCUUCUACCACCAAGGAAAAGACAAACCCCACCAUCCAGCCCAGGCCAAGACAGACAAGCCCCACCAUCCAUCCAACCUCAACUAAAGAAAAGACAAACCACAGGUACAGGAGCCACACAAGCCCCACCCUCGACCCUGGCCAAAAAGAAGAAAACAAAAAGUUGCAAAUGCAGUCGACAGACAAUUUAUCCAUAUGAUAAAAUAUUGGAAAGACGGAUGAAUGGGGGGAAGGCAGCAGAGGUGAAAGUGCGUUGGCUACCUUGCUCUUCCUGGUAAGUGAUGGCUGAAUGUAAUUUAGUCAAUAGCUACACAGUCUUAGUGUUUUAAAACCUGGUAACUUUCAGCCUUCAAAGUGAAUUUUGAAGUAAAAGUGGGACCGCUAAUUGUUUUGGCACAAAGAACUAUCUAAGUGAACUGAACUAAACACAUGAGAACAUGUGCACACCAGCCUUCAAGUAGUCAUCUGGCUCAAGUUUGGUCAUAUGACAUCUGAAGCAAAUACAUUCUAACCUGUUUGCCCCAUACAUUUGCUAACUCUGUUUGGGCUAUUUUAUAAAGUGUUUGCUGUACAGUUAGAUAAACAGCAUACAGUUCUUUUUACAAAGUGAAACCUCCCAUUAUGAACCAAAUGUAGUCCAAUUUAAAAGGCCUG